GCAUAUCAAUAAGCGGAGGAAAAGAAAACAACUGUGAUUCCCUUAGUAAUGGCGAAUGAACGGGAACAGGGCAUCGCGGAACUGCAGGUCAUCUUGGCCUCGCGGAAUGUCGCGUUCGGGAGAGUCUUCUCGAGGACCGGACGGCCAGUCAAAGUCCAACUUGACAGUGGCCACUGCCCAUAGAGGGUGAUAGGCCCGUAAGGCGGCUGUCCGUUUUCGCUGACUUUUUCCCUAGAGUCGGGUUGCUUGGGAGUGCAGCCCAAAGUGCGAGGUAAACUCCUCGUAACCCUAAAUAUGACCCCGAGACCGAUAGCAAACAAGUACGGUGACGGAAGAUUGAAAAGAACUUUGAAGAGAGAGUUCAAUAGUACGUGAAACUGUGUGGUGGUAAACGGAGGGGUUCUCGAAGUUUCUGUGGGGAACUCAGCCUUGGUGUCGCGUGGCCCUGUUGUAUCUGAUCAGCAAUGACAGUGCAGCUUGUCCGACGUGUCUCUCGGGUGCAUUUCCCCCGCAGUUUACGGCAGGAACUGUUUGGAGCGCACCGAAGGCCUCGGGUGAAGUUGUUGGUUCUGCUAGCAGCCCUGGGUGUCCUGGCUUCGCACCAGACAGGUACGUGAGAGGACUCGUAUAGCGAGCAAUGCUCUGUUGCGGUUCUCAUCUCUCUGCCGAGUAGGUCGGCGGCCCCUCCGACCCGUCUUGAAACACGGACC
rnacentral:rRNA from 1 species